UACGUAGGGGGCAAGCGUUGUCCGGAUUUAUUGGGCGUAAAGAGCGUGUAGGCGGCUAGGUAGGUCCGUUGUGAAAACUCGAGGCUCAACCUCGAGACGUCGAUGGAAACCAUCUAGCUAGAGUCCGGAAGAGGGAGAGUGGAAAUUCCUGGUGUAGCGGUGAAAUGCGCAGAUAUCAGGAAGAACACCCGUGGCGAAGGCGGCUCUCUGGUACGUGACUGACGCUGAGACGCGAAAGCGUGGGGGAGCAAACAGGAUUA
rnacentral:rRNA from 1 species